rnacentral:rRNA from 1 species
GGCUCAGAUUGAACGCUGGCGGCAUGCCUUACACAUGCAAGUCGAACGGCAGCACGGGUGCUUGCACCUGGUGGCGAGUGGCGAACGGGUGAGUAAUACAUCGGAACAUGUCCUGUAGUGGGGGAUAGCCCGGCGAAAGCCGGAUUAAUACCGCAUACGAUCUACGGAUGAAAGCGGGGGACCUUCGGGCCUCGCGCUAUAGGGUUGGCCGAUGGCUGAUUAGCUAGUUGGUGGGGUAAAGGCCUACCAAGGCGACGAUCAGUAGCUGGUCUGAGAGGACGACCAGCCACACUGGGACUGAGACACGGCCCAGACUCCUACGGGAGGCAGCAGUGGGGAAUUUUGGACAAUGGGCGAAAGCCUGAUCCAGCAAUGCCGCGUGUGUGAAGAAGGCCUUCGGGUUGUAAAGCACUUUUGUCCGGAAAGAAAUCCUUGACUCUAAUACAGUCGGGGGA